GGGUUGUGAGGUUAAGCGACUAAGCGUACACGGUGGAUGCCCUGGCAGUCAGAGGCGAUGAAGGACGUGCUAAUCUGCGAAAAGCGCCGGCGAGGUGAUAUGAACCUUUGACCCGGCGAUGUCCGAAUGGGGAAACCCAGUGCAAUCCGUUGCACUAUCGUUAACUGAAUACAUAGGUUAACGAGGCGAACCGGGGGAACUGAAACAUCUAAGUACCCCGAGGAAAAGAAAUCAACCGAGAUUCCCCCAGUAGCGGCGAGCGAACGGGGAGCAGCCCGGAGUCUGAAUCAGCUUGUGUGUUAGUGGAACGGUCUGGAAAGUCCGACGGUACAGGGUGAUAGUCCCGUACACGAAAGCACACAUGCUGUGAACUCGAAGAGUAGGGCGGGACACGUGGUAUCCUGUCUGAAUAUGGGGGGACCAUCCUCCAAGGCUAAAUACUCCUGACUGACCGAUAGUGAACCAGUACCGUGAGGGAAAGGCGAAAAGAACCCCGGCGAGGGGAGUGAAAAAGAACCUGAAACCGUGUACGUACAAGCAGUGGGAGCCUCUUUAUGGGGUGACUGCGUACCUUUUGUAUAAUGGGUCAGCGACUUAUAUUCUGUAGCAAGGUUAACCGUAUAGGGGAGCCGAAGGGAAACCGAGUCUUAACUGGGCGUUAAGUUGCAGGGUAUAGACCCGAAACCCGGUGAUCUAGCCAUGGGCAGGUUGAAGGUUGGGUAACACUAACUGGAGGACCGAACCGACUAAUGUUGAAAAAUUAGCGGAUGACCUGUGGCUGGGGGUGAAAGGCCAAUCAAACCGGGAGAUAGCUGGUUCUCCCCGAAAGCUAUUUAGGUAGCGCCUCGUGAACUCAUCUUCGGGGGUAGAGCACUGUUUCGGCUAGGGGGCCAUCCCGGCUUACCAACCCGAUGCAAACUACGAAUACCGAAGAAUGUUAUCACGGGAGACACACGGCGGGUGCUAACGUCCGUCGUGAAGAGGGAAACAACCCAGACCGCCAGCUAAGGUCCCAAAGUCAUGGUUAAGUGGGAAACGAUGUGGGAAGGCACAGACAGCCAGGAUGUUGGCUUAGAAGCAGCCAUCAUUUAAAGAAAGCGUAAUAGCUCACUGGUCGAGUCGGCCUGCGCGGAAGAUGUAACGGGGCUAAACCAUGCACCGAAGCUGCGGCAGCGACGCUUAGGCGUUGUUGGGUAGGGGAGCGUUCUGUAAGCCGUUGAAGGUGUGCUGUGAGGCAUGCUGGAGGUAUCAGAAGUGCGAAUGCUGACAUAAGUAACGAUAAAGCGGGUGAAAAGCCCGCUCGCCGGAAGACCAAGGGUUCCUGUCCAACGUUAAUCGGGGCAGGGUGAGUCGACCCCUAAGGCGAGGCCGAAAGGCGUAGUCGAUGGGAAACAGGUUAAUAUUCCUGUACUUGGUGUUACUGCGAAGGGGGGACGGAGAAGGCUAUGUCAGCCGGGCGACGGUUGUCCCGGUUUAAGCAUGUAGGCGGAGGUUCCAGGUAAAUCCGGUACCUUGUUAACGCUGAGGUGUGAUGACGAGGCACUACGGUGCUGAAGUGAUAAAUGCCCUGCUUCCAGGAAAAGCCUCUAAGCAUCAGGUAACACGAAAUCGUACCCCAAACCGACACAGGUGGUCAGGUAGAGAAUACCAAGGCGCUUGAGAGAACUCGGGUGAAGGAACUAGGCAAAAUGGUGCCGUAACUUCGGGAGAAGGCACGCUGAUGUGUAGGUGAAGUCCCUGCGGACGGAGCUGAAAUCAGUCGAAGAUACCAGCUGGCUGCAACUGUUUAUUAAAAACACAGCACUGUGCAAACACGAAAGUGGACGUAUACGGUGUGACGCCUGCCCGGUGCCGGAAGGUUAAUUGAUGGGGUUAGCGGCAACGCGAAGCUCUUGAUCGAAGCCCCGGUAAACGGCGGCCGUAACUAUAACGGUCCUAAGGUAGCGAAAUUCCUUGUCGGGUAAGUUCCGACCUGCACGAAUGGCGUAAUGAUGGCCAGGCUGUCUCCACCCGAGACUCAGUGAAAUUGAACUCGCUGUGAAGAUGCAGUGUACCCGCGGCAAGACGGAAAGACCCCGUGAACCUUUACUAUAGCUUGACACUGAACACUGGUCCUUGAUGUGUAGGAUAGGUGGGAGGCUUUGAAGCGUGGACGCCAGUCUGCGUGGAGCCAACCUUGAAAUACCACCCUUUAAUGGCUGGUGUUCUAACGUAGACCCGUAAUCCGGGUUGCGGACAGUGUCUGGUGGGUAGUUUGACUGGGGCGGUCUCCUCCCAAAGAGUAACGGAGGAGCACGAAGGUUGGCUAAUCCUGGUCGGACAUCAGGAGGUUAGUGCAAUGGCAUAAGCCAGCUUGACUGCGAGCGUGACGGCGCGAGCAGGUGCGAAAGCAGGUCAUAGUGAUCCGGUGGUUCUGAAUGGAAGGGCCAUCGCUCAACGGAUAAAAGGUACUCCGGGGAUAACAGGCUGAUACCGCCCAAGAGUUCAUAUCGACGGCGGUGUUUGGCACCUCGAUGUCGGCUCAUCACAUCCUGGGGCUGAAGUAGGUCCCAAGGGUAUGGCUGUUCGCCAUUUAAAGUGGUACGCGAGCUGGGUUUAGAACGUCGUGAGACAGUUCGGUCCCUAUCUGCCGUGGGCGCUGGAGAAUUGAGGGGGGCUGCUCCUAGUACGAGAGGACCGGAGUGGACGCAUCACUGGUGUUCGGGUUGUCAUGCCAAUGGCACUGCCCGGUAGCUAAAUGCGGAAGAGAUAAGUGCUGAAAGCAUCUAAGCACGAAACUUGCCCCGAGAUGAGUUCUCCCUGAGACUUUAAGUCUCCUGAAGGAACGUUGAAGACUACGACGUUGAUAGGUCGGGUGUGUAAGCGCAGCGAUGCGUUGAGCUAACCGAUACUAAUGAACCGUGAGGCUUAACCUUACAACGCCGAAGCUGUU
rnacentral:rRNA from 1 species